rnacentral:rRNA from 1 species
ACCAACAGGGAUUGCCCCAGUAACGGCGAGUGAAGCGGCAACAGCUCAAAUUUGAAAUCUGGCCCCUAGGGCCCGAGUUGUAAUUUGCAGAGGAUGCUUUUGGCGAGGUGCCUUCCGAGUUCCCUGGAACGGGACGCCAUAGAGGGUGAGAGCCCCGUCUGGUUGGACGCCGAGCCUCUGUAAAGCUCCUUCGACGAGUCGAGUAGUUUGGGAAUGCUGCUCUAAAUGGGAGGUAUAUGUCUUCUAAAGCUAAAUAUUGGCCAGAGACCGAUAGCGCACAAGUAGAGUGAUCGAAAGAUGAAAAGCACUUUGAAAAGAGAGUUAAAUAGUACGUGAAAUUGUUGAAAGGGAAGCGCUUAUGACCAGACUUGGGCCCGGUGAAUCAUCCAGCGUUCUCGCUGGUGCACUUUGCCGGUGCCCAGGCCAGCAUCAGUUUGCCCCGGGGGAUAAAGGCUUUGGGAAUGUGGCUCCCUAGGGAGUGUUAUAGCCCAUUGCAUAAUACCCUGUGGCGGACUGAGGUUCGCGCAUCUUGCAAGGAUGCUGGCGUAAUGGUCAUCAGCGACCCGUCUUGAAACACGGACCAAGGAGUCGUCUUCGUAUGCGAGUGUUCGGGUGUCAAACCCCUACGCGUAAUGAAAGUGAACGCAGGUGAGAGCUUCGGCGCAUCAUCGACCGAUCCUGAUGUUCUCGGAUGGAUUUGAGUAAGAGCAUACGGGGCCGGACCCGAAAGAAGGUGAACUAUGCCUGUAUAGGGUGAAGCCAGAGGAAACUCUGGUGGAGGCUCGCAGCGGUUCUGACGUGCAAAUCGAUCGUCAAAUAUGGGCAUGGGGGCGAAAGACUAAUCGAA